AGCUCCAAUAGCGUAUAUUAAAGUUGCUGCAGUUAAAAAGCUCGUAGUUGCAUUUCCGAGGCAAGGGAUUAGUCCGACCUUUGGUGGGUAUUUAAUCCUCUUGCCUCGUCCUUGAGUGGUGCUUCUUGGUAUUAAGUUAUCGAGGAGAUAGCCGCUCAUCGUUUACUGUGAGAAAAUUAGAGUGUUCAAAGCAGGCUUAUGCCGUUGAAUAUAUUAGCAUGGAAUAAUAAGAUAGGACCUCGGUACUAUUUUGUUGGUUUGAGAACCAAGGUAAUGAUGAAUAGGGACAGUUGGGGGUAUUCGUAUUCAGUUGUCAGAGGUGAAAUUCUUGGAUUUAUGGAAGACGAACUACUGCGAAAGCAUUUACCAAGGAUGUUUUCA
rnacentral:rRNA from 1 species